CCCUCCCGGCGGGACUCUGUUGCUAGGGCGCGGGCGCAGGGGGUCGGGGUACUGCAGCGGCUGCGCAGAGGAGCGAGGUGCUUGCUGGGUCCUGGGCUGUGAAACUACGCCAGGGGAUUUGGGGAUCGCCGCGCAAGUCUGUGCGUUUCCCAGGCGGGUGGCGCCCUCGCCCUUGGGGCUCGCUAGGUGGGCGCUUCCGGCUCGCCAAGCAGGGCCCCAGCGACUUUCCGCACCAUGGGCCAGUGUGGCAUUACCUCCUCGAAGACUGUGCUGGUGUUUCUUAACCUCAUUUUUUGGCAGCCGUGGUUUCUGGCACCAUGCCAGGGGACUUUCCCUGUCAGCCUAUAAAACAUCCUUACCGCCCGUUUUGAAGCAUCCUCUGCACAUGUUGGCUUCCAAACUUCAUAUCAGGUAAGAUUCUGUUGAUUGUUCACUAUGUUUAUUUGAACCAUCAUCUAAGCCCAGUUGGGUUCAGGAGCAAGUAGGCUCAGCUUCCACCUACUUUGCCUCCAUCUUCCACUCUUCUACUAACAAGUAUUUUAAAAACCCAAAUCAGUGUAAUUUCUCCAUCCAGAGAUACUGGGUUGGCCAAAAAGUUUGUUUUUUCCCAUAAGAUGGCUGUAGUAGCGCUUAUUUGUCUCUAACUUUGUUUGAUUGUAUUGUGACAGCUGUCAUUAUCAGUGUGUAUUUAAAAAAACUUAUCAAAAUUGGUGAAAUUUUGUGUAGCCAUUUUAAUAGUGAGGCUGGAAGAAAAUACUUAACAUUUUCAGCAUAUUAUGUUUUAUUAUUUCAAGAAAGGUAAAAAUGCAACUGAAAGUCAAAAAAAGAUUUGUGCACUGUAUGGAGAAGGUGCUGUGACUGAUUGAAUGUGUCAGAAGUGGUUUUCAAAGUUUUGUGCUGGAGAUUUCUUGUCUUUUUCUUUUUACAAAAUAGUCAUUAUUUAUAUUUUCAAAAAGAAAAAAAUUAACAUUUGGAACUUCUCCCCUGUAGGAAGAAGGGUGAACUGGAAGGGACAGGACUGACUCCUACAUAGGCACAGGUACCAACAGCUGAGCAGUUGGGCCUGGGAUUUUUCACACAGCAUUAAUAAUAAAAUUUCCUUUUCUCUUUGUGUGUGUGUGUUUAGAAAAGGGAGUGGUGAGGAAUAAGAAGUAAAAUCAGAGAAAAAUGCCAGAAAACAUUUUCCAUAAUAUCUAAAAACAGAACCAGAGUUCUUGUCAAGAUAGUAUGAAUUCUGGGUAAAUUACUUUUUUUUCCAGUUCUUGACACUUAUAAAGAUUUUCUGAAACUUUUCUCAAUAUAAAUAGUACUGGAAUCCACAAAUUGAUUUUUGAGAAAUUCUGCAAAAAUCCUUUUUCUUCUUUCCUUUUCUUUCCCCUUGUCUUAAAACUAAAUGUUCUUCUUUCUUUUUCCUUUUUGCUCCAGGCACCUGAUGAUUUGUUCUGCUCUGUCAGAUGCAGACAGGUUUCUCCAAGUACCACACCACUAGCAUGUCCUCAGGGCCAGUGCCUAAGCUGAAUCCCCACAGGAUCAAACUUGGUCAGGCCAAAGGGAACACAGUGACAUGGCAACAGGGUUUUCAUUAGGUUGAAUAGCCCUGAGUCCCUGGCCCUUCCCUCCCCCUAUUUCCCCCAAGUUCAUUUAGUGUUGCUUUAAAAGUCUGGGGCCACAAUGCAGUCUUUCCCCCAUAGCAGAGUAAAAACUCCACAGAUUGCGCUGUCUACCUGGUGGUCAGUGGCAGCAACAGUGACUGCUGCUUCUGGAAAAUAAAUGUAGUCUUACAACAGCAAGAUGUUAGGAUUGCUUCAGGUGCUUGUGUGGGGGACCCAGACAGAGGCACUGUGCUGAAGCCAGAGAGUGGGAUGCUUCAGCCACCAAGUGGGAAUGUGACACCACCAUGGACUUCCACCCAGAGGUUUCCAAGAUAUCUGCAGCAUGAUAGUUGAUGAAAUCCACUGCCAGAGUUUUCAAUUGAUCUGCACUGGGGAGGUCAGCCAAGAUGAGAAUUUCUGCAGCGUUCUCCACGGAGAGGUUACUGCAGAGGGCAUCCUCAUACAUGACCUUUAAACAUUCCAGGGCAUACUUGUCAGCAGCUGCCAGCAAAUCAUCAGGCAUUUUGUCCAGGUUUGGAGCCUCCCUGUGUAAAUGAAGCACAUCAUUUCCUUAAAGACUUCAGGCUGCACAUCAUUGAUUUCAAACCAAUUCUUUUUGCUUUCUUCCAUUUCAUGUUCAAAUAUGGCACUAAACACUGGAGAAAGAGAUACUAAGAUAGCUUUGUGAGCCUGGAAUUCCUGGCCAGCAACACACAACAGUCUGAACCAGGAAUUCUCCCACAGUCCUAACUCAUCGGCCAGUUGGCACUUGGGAACCUUCACCACAUUCAUGGUAUUCUGGCCAGAAAUGUUGACAGAAUCUUGCACCACACUCACCUCACAGAAGAGGGUAAGGUUGUAUCAGGGAGAAGCCCAUUGGCUUCAUCCUAGAGAAAAAUCUCUGUGGAUGAAUUUUUUGAAGCCCCCGUCUUUGUCUUGCACAAACUUAUAUGCCCCUUGACUCUCCAUAGCUUUGGUUUCUUCUCCCUUGGCAUUCGGGAUGGAGAAUUUGAAUUUUGCCCGAACUUCACUGUUUGGACAGCUGACCAGUAACAGGUAAAGUGACAGGGGGCAGCUGGCAUUUUAUGCUAUGUGGGAGCAUAUGUCUUCAUCACUUAUGAUGAUUAUGACCACUUCUUUGAAGAUGUGUACACUCUCAUCCCUGCUGUAGUGAUCAUAGCUGUAGGAGCUUUGCUUUUCAUUAUUGGACUAAUUGGCUGCUGUGCCACAAUCCGGGAAAGUCACUGUGGACUGGCCACGUUUGUCAUCAUCCUACUCUUAGUUUUUGUCACAGAAGUUGUUGUAGUGGUUUUGGGAUACGUUUACAGAGCAAAGGUGGAAAAUGAGGUUGACCGCAGCAUUCAGAAAGUAUAUAAGACCUACAGUGGAACCAGCCCUGAUGCUGCUAGCCGGGCUAUUGAUUAUGUACAGAGACAGCUGCACUGUUGUGGAAUUCACAAUUACUCAGACUGGGAAAAUACAGACUGGUUCAAAGAAACCAAAAACCAGAGUGUCCCUCUAAGCUGCUGCAGAGAGACCGCCAGCAGCUGUAAUGGCAGUCUAGCCCAUCCCUCCAACCUCUAUGCCGAGGGGUGUGAAGCUCUAGUUGUGAAGAAGCUACAAGAAAUUAUGAUGCAUGUUAUCUGGGCAGCUCUGGCAUUUGCAGCUAUUCAGCUGCUGGGAAUGCUGUGUGCAUGCAUCGUUUUGUGCAGAAGGAGUAGAGAUCCUGCUUAUGAGCUUCUCAUCACCGGUGGAACCUAUGCGUAGUACAAAACUCAAGCCUGAGCUAGUUGGUCUCUUAUUCUGAUUUGGAAGGACAAUGGAGCAGGUCUACUGCUGUCAGCCUCCAGAGUUCAUUUAGUUAAAGCCCAUGUGUUGGACACAGCAGCUUGGUUCUUCAUGUGCCCACUUACUUAACCUACCAACAAUUUUCUUUUCCCCUCUUCUAGCUGACUCACAAUGUCUCUCUGUUUUUAAGCACCAUGGUCAACGUUCUAAUUGCAGAACCAUUUGCAAUUUGCCUAGUGUGGUGAAAUUAAAAGAGGGAGUGGCUGCUUCUCUUACCUCCCAGCAGCAGUUGGCCUCUUGCUGAAGUACCACUGGGCCCUGCUAGGCUUCACAGUGGACAACUGUGGGCCAAAGGAUUUUGGGGGAAGGGGAGUUAACACCAGAUGACCCUCAUGAGUGUCCUUUAAAAAAUAUAUUUACUGUAGUCCAGUAUGAUUGCAGCUGUACAAAAUGGCUACAAUUGAAUUUAGAAUCAUGCAAUGUGUAUCUUGGUUCAUAUUCAAAAUCAGAGUGAUCUUUGAAAUGAGGUUUUUAAUCAAAGCUGGCUUUAUAGGAGGAGUAUAAUGUAUGCACUACUGUCUUAAAACAAUUAGUGUGGGGGGGGGUUAUGUUUGAACCCAUUCAUUGUAAGUUUAAAUUUGUUAGAAAUAAUGUACCCAUGUAGACUAGCAACCUAUUAUGUAGAUGUGAUCUCAGUUGUAAAUAGAAAACUCUAAUUCAAUAAACUCUGUAUUACCUCU